UACGAAGGGGGCUAGCGUUGCUCGGAUUGACUGGGCGUAAAGGGCGCGUAGGCGGCUAGUACAGUCAGAUGUGAAAUUCCCGGGCUCAACCUGGGGGCUGCAUUUGAUACGUGCUGGCUUGAGUUCGGAAGAGGGUCGUGGAAUUCCCAGUGUAGAGGUGAAAUUCGUAGAUAUUGGGAAGAACACCGGUGGCGAAGGCGGCGACCUGGUCCGAGACUGACGCUGAGGCGCGAAAGCUAGGGGAGCAAACAGG
rnacentral:rRNA from 1 species